GGAGAGCUCAGUUCGUCCAAGAGAAGCGUAUCGGUCACGUCGUUGCGACGAUUGUUUCACGAGAAUCUCGUGCGAGAGCACGGGACUUGUCUCUCCGCUCUCACACACGCACACGCGCACACACACACACACACAUACAUACACGGUCGAUAUACAAGACGACGUGCUUGCCCUGCCACGAGAAAGAGAAGGAGAGAGAGAGAAAGAGAGAGAACAACGAGACAGGACCACGCUAGAGGAUUCCAAGGUGUUUUCCGCCGCCAGAUUUUCGAUGGGAGCGCGCAGUGCGACCAACCGAAAUCCCGCGUGCAAUCAGACGUAAGGGCAACGAGCAACGCAAUUAUGUCUCCCUGGGCUUCCUCAUCAACACGAUCGGCGGACACUGGCAUCGUUUACACUUGAACGGCUUCGAAGCUUCAUCCAUCGCCACGAAUUGCUAACGCGGCAGUGGAUAGUGGACGUGUUAAGAGGCCUCGGGGAAAAUUAAUUGCCAUCGGAUCGAUGCUUGAAUUAUUUUAGUUUAGG